UGAAGCCGGGGCUUGCUCUGGUGGAUUAGUGGCGAACGGGUGAGUAACACGUGAGCAACCUGCCCUGGACUCUGGGAUAAGCGCUGGAAACGGCGUCUAAUACUGGAUACGAGACGUGGCCGCAUGGUCAACGUUUGGAAAGAUUUUUCGGUCUGGGAUGGGCUCGCGGCCUAUCAGCUUGUUGGUGAGGUAAUGGCUCACCAAGGCGUCGACGGGUAGCCGGCCUGAGAGGGUGACCGGCCACACUGGGACUGAGACACGGCCCAGACUCCUACGGGAGGCAGCAGUGGGGAAUAUUGCACAAUGGGCGGAAGCCUGAUGCAGCAACGCCGCGUGAGGGAUGACGGCCUUCGGGUUGUAAACCUCUUUUAGCAGGGAAGAAGCGUGAGUGACGGUACCUGCAGAAAAAGCGCCGGCUAACUACGUGCCAGCAGCCGCGGUAAUACGUAGGGCGCAAGCGUUAUCCGGAAUUAUUGGGCGUAAAGAGCUCGUAGGCGGUUUGUCGCGUCUGCUGUGAAAUCCCGAGGCUCAACCUCGGGCCUGCAGUGGGUACGGGCAGACUAGAGUGCGGUAGGGGAGAUUGGAAUUCCUGGUGUAGCGGUGGAAUGCGCAGAUAUCAGGAGGAACACCGAUGGCGAAGGCAGAUCUCUGGGCCGUAACUGACGCUGAGGAGCGAAAGGGUGGGGAGCAAACAGGCUUAGAUACCCUGGUAGUCCACCCCGUAAACGUUGGGAACUAGUUGUGGGGUCCUUUCCACGGAUUCCGUGACGCAGCUAACGCAUUAAGUUCCCCGCCUGGGGAGUACGGCCGCAAGGCUAAAACUCAAAGGAAUUGACGGGGACCCGCACAAGCGGCGGAGCAUGCGGAUUAUUCGAUGCAACGCGAAGAACCUUACCAAGGCUUGACAUACACGAGAACGGGC
rnacentral:rRNA from 1 species